AAGCCCUGAUUCGGAGACCACAUCAAAUAUUGCUUGAACCUCUCCCAAGCUUCAUAAAGUUGUUACCCCGAAAGUUGCUUAAACUCAAAAAUCUUGUUUCUAAGUUC